UUGCGCUGUAACCUAUAUGCAAUUCUGGGUUAUAACUAACAUUGUGUCCACAGUUGCGCAAAGUUGUUUGAAUAUUUUUGUUUAAAGAAAAGAAUAAAGCAUUCGUAUAACUUGUAAUCAAUAGUGUUCGAUGAAGGAACAAUCAUUUUGAAAAUGACCAAUACUCCAGAAUACAUGUAUAUUUGUCUUUUGACUGAUCUUGGUCAGUGUCUAGCAGUAUCCUUACGACCAAGCCACGUCGCCAAAGCAGCAGUCAAGUAAUUUGUCUUCCACGUUUGAGCUUCCUAUUUGCCACGGUCUGUUGCAAAGUCCACUCAACAUGGAUUGUUUUAAUAAAACAAAUGGAUUUUAAGAAGAUAUUUGCUGAUUCCUGUGUAUGAUCUUAAUUGUAUAUGAAACAAUACAUGAACAACACUGACGCAUAUGAAAGGCAUGACGUCACUGACAAGUGACGACCGUUAAAGUAAAAUAUAUACCAAUGAACGUAAUGUGAAAUGGCGGAUUUAUUAAAUAAAUGAGAAUCAAUAAACAAUAAUAUUAUACAAAUACAAUGACAAAAACGUUGAGGGUCGCCCAAAACCACCCGGUGCCUUGCGAUGAAAACCUCCAACGGGACUGUGACCUUGCCCUUGUACACACCUAAUGGUCAGGUAUAAGGUCACUUGGGCUUAGAUAGUCACUGCAGUAAGAACAUGUAAGGUUUAAAAGGACAUCCGAGACUGCAAUGACGAAAUGAGUGUCCUCACUUCAGCAGUGGAGGCCAAUACACAAUACGAGAGUUUCCAGCAGCUUACCUUAUCUGACGUACCUUGACGAAAUCAAACCAGCAAAUCAGAAGGACAGCCUGCUGCUACCGUUGUUAUCAUAUUAACCCCAUACCGAAAAAGCUCAGAGAUAUAAAGGCUGUUUAAGAUGUGCUUGUCUCUACAUACCCCGUGUCUGGUGUGAACAUGUACAAUUGAAUGUCUCUACAUACUCCAUGUCUGCUGUGAACAUGUACAAUUGAAGGUCUCUACAUACUCCAUGUCUGGUGUGAACAUGUACAAUUGAAGAUCUCUACAUACUCCAUGUCUGGUGUGAACAUGUACAAUUGAAGGUCUCUACAUACCUCAUGUCUGGUGUGAACAUGUACAAUUGAAGGUCUCUACAUACUCCAUGUCUGGUGUGAACAUGUACAAUUGAAGGUCUCUGCAUACCUCAUGUCUGGUGUGAACAUGUACAAUUGAAGGUCUCUACAUACCUCAUGUCUGGUGUGAACAUGUACAAUUGAAGGUCUCUACAUACCUCAUGUCUGGUGUGAACAUAUACAAUUGAAGGUCUCUACAUACUCCAUGUCUGGUGUGAACAUGUACAAUUGAAGGUCUCUACAUACCUCAUGUCUGGUGUGAACAUGUACAAUUGAAGGUCUCUACAUACUCCAUGUCUGGUGUGAACAUGUACAAUUGAAGGUCUCUGCAUACCUCAUGUCUGGUGUGAACAUGUACAAUUGAAGGUCUCUACAUACCUCAUGUCUGGUGUGAACAUGUACAAUUGAAGGUCUCUACAUACCUCAUGUCUGGUGUGAACAUAUACAAUUGAAGGUCUCUACAUACCCCAUGUCUGGUGAAAAUAUGUACAAUUGAAGGUCUCUACAUACCUCAUGUCUGGUGUGAACGUGUACAAUUAAAGGUCUCUACAUACCCCAUGUCUGGUGUGAACAUGUACAAUUGAAUGUCUCAUCUUUGGAAUUGGGACACGUGGAAAAUUAGUGAUUUGAUUCAGACAGAAAUCGCAUAGUGACAAAUCACAACAAAAAAUGGAAAGCAAGAAAGUCUUGUGGCCAGCAAUGUUUUUAUGUGACCACUUAGUUGUGUUCAAAGAAAAACAAUCGUUCAUGUUUUAUUGGAACUAUGAUGCUGUCAGUCAUUUUAUGUUGAAGGCUUUAAAUAACUAUAUUUAAAUAUAAUAAGAUUAAGAUUACUUGAUAAAAGAAAUAAUGUUAUAUAGUAUUUUAAGCGCAAAAUUUACAAGUCUAUCCAAUUACUGUGUCUGUUUUAUGACAUUUUAUUUUGGAAAUGUUAAG